rfam:Spinacia oleracea cultivar SynViroflay scaffold87853.con0009.1, whole genome shotgun sequence.
ACCUAAACCCGGUUGGAGUGGAAAUCCUUUUUAAAACCUGAAAGGUUUGAAAAAGAUUGAAACAGAAAAUGGGACUAAGG